rnacentral:pre_miRNA from 1 species
GUGUGUUUGUAUGUGGAUGGUGUUCAGCACCAAGGACAGGUAUGUUUUGUAUGUGAAUGGUGUUCGGUACCAAUAAAGACAUAUGUGUUU